rnacentral:rRNA from 1 species
GCGGUGAAAUGCGUAGAUAUGCCAUAGAACACCAAUUGCGAAGGCAGCUGGCUAGACCUGGAUUGACGCUGAGGCACGAAAGCGUGGGGAGCGAACAGGAUUAGAUACCCUGGUAGUCCACGCCCUAAACGAUGCUUACUCGACGUAUGAUGCUUGACAUUGUGCGUCCAAGGGAAACCGUUAAGUAAGCCACCUGGGGAGUACGACCGCAAGGUUGAAACUCAAAUGAAUUGACGG